ACGAAGGAUGCAAGCGUUAUCCGGAAUUAUUGGGUUUAAAGGGUGCGUAGGCGGAUUUGUAAGUCAGUGGUGAAAUCUUUGGGCUCAACCCAGAAACUGCCAUUGAUACUGUGAAUCUUGAGUACGGUUGCCGUUGGCGGAAUAUGACAUGUAGUGGUGAAAUACAUAGAUAUGUCAUAGAACACCGAUUGCGAAGGCAGCUAACGAAGCCGUAACUGACGCUGAUGCACGAAAGCGUGGGGAUCAAACAGG
rnacentral:rRNA from 1 species